GGACCAAUGAUGAUUACUGGUGGUUUGAAUCAUGGAUGAUAAAUAACAUGUGUCAGAAACUCUGAGGUCCAGCAAAAAAAAAUCUAAGUCAGUCUCUCUGUAGGGAUCCUGUAGGUAGAAGUCAGGGAUAUACAAAGAUCUUGUUUAUUUCUUGUGUUCUUUCAUGAAUUUUCACUUCAUUAUUAUAGUCGGAGCAGGGAAAUAAAUAAUCAAAUAAGUAAAUAAAAGAAAUGGAGUGUGUGAAUAUCUCAUAUAAAAAUUUGUAUUCACACAAGAAAUGCUGUAAAAAUUGAGAAAACACUUAAAACCAAAGAGAAAGAAAGAGUACAUGACUUAAAUCUUUGGCUAAUUUAAUACAGACAAUAGUAAGUAAUAGUCGUGGCUCACCUUCUGUGUCAGGGAUAAGUUUUAAGUUCAUUUUCUUAAGAGAAAAUGAAGCAUACUCCAAAUAAAAGAUUGUCUAAAUCACUGAAAAGUGAAAUGCGCAAGUAAGGACCAAUGACAAUUAGGUCUCGAUUCGUGGACAUCGCCUCUGCCCUGUACGUCACGGAAUGGGCGCCUUGAGAUGAUUUAAGUUUCCUCCAAGAUCAAGAGCCCUCUGGUUGCAUCUUUGUGUUAGAAUCAUGGAGAACAAUGGAAUCGUCAGUGUCCUUGUGUGGGACGGAGCCAUGUUUUUAGAUAAGGUAUUACUGUAUUAUUAAAAAUAUUAAGUAUAAUCAAAGAAGUCCAAACACACCACUGUCAGUGACCAUGGAUGGAAAAGAAUGUGAUGCUAUAUCCGUAUAUGAUACACUGAAUUCAGUUAAUGAAAGGGCUGGGUCUCCGCGGAGGUGACUUUAUAGACUGAUGUUAGGAUUAUUCAAAGGACUUACAGUUUUUUUGUGAUUGAUGUUUAUUUAAGUAAUUGUGAAUUAAUCAAAACAAAAAUGUCCAUGAACGAGAAAAGAGCCAGUGUGCUUCUGUGGGAAAUGAUGCCCAAGAUCAAAGUUAGGAAGAGACAAACGUCAGAUUCCCAUUUGGAGUUUAUAAAUGUAAAUGUAUAAUUAAUAAUACAUAGAAGAACAAUAGUAAAAUAAAACAACCAUAUAAAAGAAGCUGAAGGAUUGUCGUAUGAAACAUGUGGUAGGACAAGAAACACUAUUUUUUUUUUCUUUUUUUGGCUUUUGCCAUUUCUUGGGAUGCUCCCGCAGCAUAUGAAUGUUCCCAGGCUAGGGGUCUGACUGGAGCUGUAGCUGCUGGCCUACGCCAGAGUCCACAGCAAUGCAGGAUCUGAGCCCCGUCCGCAAGCUACACCAUAGCUCAGGGCAACGCAGAUCCUUAACCCACUGAGCAAGGCCAGGGAUCGAACCCGCAACCUCAUGGUUCCUAGUCGGAUUCGUUAACCACUGAGCCACGACGGGAACUCCAAGAAGUACUAUUAAUAAAACUGUAAAUGUUUGUUAUAAUUAAGCAGUAAAUGAGUAGGCAUUUUGCAUGUUCGUGGAAAGGAUCCUACAGAUACUGACGAAUGAGAGUCAACAUUUUUGUGUGGUAUCAGUCUCUUUUAAAGGGUUUGUGUAUAAGAGGAAAACUACCAUAUUAACAAACUAUUAUGUUUAGAAUGGAUAAGCAGAGAGGUCCUGCUGUACAGCACAGUGAACAGUAUCCCAACUCUCGAGGUAGAAAAUGAUGGAAGACCGUAGGAAAAAAUAAUGUGUAUCAGUAUAUGACUAUGCUGCACAGCAGAAAUGGGCACAGCAAUGUAAAUCAACUAUACGUAAAAAUUGUUAUGAAAAUAAAAAUUUAAUGAGUGCAUAAAAAAGGAAACGUCCAUUAAAAGAAAUACGGAGAUUAAGUGAGAAUUUCUUAAAUUAUUUCAUAUGAAAAUUUAAAAACUUGCCUUGGGGUGCCUGGGAAAGGGAAUUCCAUGUUUAAAAAAAUAGAAAAGGAAACGAAAGGGAGAGGGAGUAAAGGCAAGACCAAAUUGCACAGUCCAUGGUGACAGGUAUCAUGAGACGCUUCCCAUCCCACGGACCCCUGGAAGUUCAGGUAGGGUAUUGAUAUCUUACCCAGCCCUUUAAUAAAUUGAUCAACAAAGAAGGUCAAGCUAAGGGAACACAGGAGGGACAGUAUAGGAUUGAAGAUGACUCCUGGUGGCAUAUGCGUCCUGUACGAUGAAAACCUGUCUGAAACUCCGAGGUCCACUGAAGGAGGAAUCUGGUUCAAUGUCCACAAAGCAGUGACCCAAUAGGCCGAGGUCAGGAAACGACGAGGGUGACUGACAGAGCACGGGCAUUCCAGCGUUUUCCUGGUGUUAGCCCAAUGGGAAAAUGUGAGCACCCGUCCGGCAGUAUCAGAGAACUGAAUCUAGAGAGAAAGGGAGUGAAGGCAUUUGCCAGGUCCUUGGUGACCCCCAUGGUAUGCCGCAUGCCAGGCUAUGGCCAGGUGUGUGUGUGGAAGCCGCGAGCCUGGAGAAUGGCUGUGCCAUUGGGUCUCCUGCUCUUGGCUUUGUACUCCUCAGUGUGCAGCCGCCGGACCCGAAGGCAGGCUCCUUCCUGGAUGAGCAGGCGAGGAUGGCAGCGUUGUCUCUGGAUCCAGAAGGCCAGUGGUGGAAGCCGAAGGCCAGGCCAGGCUCCAUGGGGCUGAGACCCCUCCUCUGGCGGUGGUGGCAGGAGAGAUCCCAAGGGGCUGGAGACCUUCAGGGGCCAGGGACCUCCGUCGUCAAUGUUUGGGUCCCGGCCGGGAUGGACUUGGGUGAUGGAGAAGCCUGGUCCAGUGACUCUUCAGUGGGAAGACCGGGGCGCAGGGAAGAAGGUGUCACGAGACCGGCCUGGUGGAUGCAGCUUCGCGUCUGUGUGGUGGGGUGCACACCAGACCCCGGCGAGCCGAUUGGGCCCGUUUCCCUGGUGAGACCCCUAGACGAUUCCUUCAGUGGGGGAGAUGGCCAAGGAAGCAGUGUGGGUAAGAGUCCGGUCUGUGCCUUUGGGUUGGGCGAGUUGGGCGCUGUGUGGGUGUCGGGAAGGUCUUCUGGGAAGGAGCCGGCGUUGAGGUUGUGAAGGGUCCAGAGGGUGUGGACGUCUUGGCGGCACUUUGGUGAAUGGGUCGACCCAGAGGGUGGCCCUCAGGGAAGACGGAGGGGGGCAGUAUUGGAUCGAUGAUGACUACUGGUGGCGUAUGAGUCGUGUACGAUGAAUACGUGUCUGGAACGCUGAGGUCCAAUGUCCUCCGUGCCGUGACCCUCGCGGGCGAGGCCAGGCAUCCAGGGGGGCCGUCCGUGUGUCCUCUGGGGGGCCUUCCUGGUGCUUGCGUUCGCCCAGUGGGCCAGUGGGAGCCCCUGUGGACCAGCCUGCCAGAACUGAAGGAGGAGAGCGAGGGAGGGCCGGCAUUCCCAAGGCGCCAGGUCCCUGGUGACCCCACCCCCCAUGGUCUGCCUCUUGCCAUGCCAUGGGCUGCAGGUUGGCCAGAGGUCUUGGGCUGAU
rnacentral:lncRNA from 1 species